CUCUUGUACACAUCUUCUCUGAAUACGAGCCACUUACCCUUAGGAUCAGUGCUUGCUUGUUUAGAAAAAGAAGCAUUUCCGUGAGAAGAGAACGGUUUGUAAAGCACAAUUCUUUAAAAGUUAUCAGAGAUUUCUGGGGAGGCUGGAUGGAAAAAAUUCCUUCAGCUAUGUGACACCUUGGAAGUCAUUGGACAUCACGCACUGCUACCAUACGCACACUCACAUUUUGGAAUGAGCUGUAUUACAAGAGAUGCACCAUCUUGACCAAGGCCAACUAUGCAAAUGCACAGACACAGGGGGGAAGUCAAGUGCACAAAGAUUACACCCACCCCGUCACGUCUCCUUUGAAAUUUCCUGUAUUUCUGAAAUCAGGCAGACACCAGGGGAAGGAAAUGUUGCCAGUGGGAGAAACUGUACUCCCCGUUGGUCCCCACACGCUCACCAGAAGGCUCCAAACCUACAGGCAUUCCCCAGGCAAUGUUCAGUCCAUCCAACAUAAAGGGAACACAAUUGAAAAGAAAAAAUUACAUACUUUUGUCUCUCAAAAACAUAUUCUUUGCAGGUGAAUGACAUCACCCUCUGAAGAGCCUUGCCUUCUCCCACCACUGCCACGCUCUUCCCCCCUGCACAAACGGCACUCUCAAGGCUUAAUGCUGGCUCAGUAAUCUCUGAUGGAAAUGGUGAAAGCUGGCCUGAUGGACAUUUACAGCAGCUUCUGAUGGAGCAGCCACUCCUCAUGCUCAGGAACACAGGAAUCAAAGGCCGUCUGCCAGACUGCUGCAAAACCAGGCCUAUGGUACUGAACAGUGAGAUGAAGGAAAACCAAGUGGGCAGACAAAAACAAAACGCUACACCGAACCUGGGGAGGCCCUGGAACACCAGGCCAGGGAUUGACACAAAUAGCCUUCCUUGGAGACAGACAGACCUUGACAGGAGGAGGCCCUGACCAGCCUCAUCUAAAUGCAGCGUUCGUCCUGCUCUCAGCAAGGGAACCACAGAUGUCCACGUGUCACCUUCAGCACGAGGUAGCUUAAGGUUUUAUCACAUGGGAAGCAAGAGGCAGGCCUGAAAGCCAAUGACAUUCUCUCAAGGACAACCUCCGCUCUGAACAGUGCA